rnacentral:rRNA from 1 species
UACGAAGGGGGCUAGCGUUGUUCGGAAUUACUGGGCGUAAAGCGCACGUAGGCGGACUCUUAAGUCAGGGGUGAAAUCCCGGGGCUCAACCUCGGAACUGCCUUUGAUACUGUGAGUCUCGAGACCGGAAGAGGUGAGUGGAAUUCCUAGUGUAGAGGUGAAAUUCGUAGAUAUCUGGAGGAACACCGGUGGCGAAGGCGGCAUCCUGGACCGGUAUUGACGCUGAGGCGCGAAAGCCAGGGGAGCAAACGGG